CCACGCCCUAAACGAUGUACACUAGUUGUUGGGAUGCUAGUCAUCUCAGUAAUGCAGCUAACGCAUUAAGUGUACCGCCUGGGGAGUACGGUCGCAAGAUUAAAACUCAAAGGAAUAGACGGGGACCCGCACAAGCGGUGGAGCAUGUGGUUUAAUUCGAAGAUACGCGAAGAACCUUACCUGGGCUUGAUAUCCUAAGAACCUUAUAGAGAUAUGAGGGUGCUAGCUUGCUAGAACUUAGAGACAGGUGCUGCACGGCUGUCGUCAGCUCGUGUCGUGAGAUGUUGGGUUAAGUCCCGCAACGAGCGCAACCCACGUAUUUAGUUGCUAACGGUUCGGCCGAGCACUCUAAAUAGACUGCCUUCGUAAGGAGGAGGAAGGUGUGGACGACGUCAAGUCAUCAUGGCCCUUAUGCCCAGGGCGACACACGUGCUACAAUGGCAUAUACAAUGAGACGCAAUACCGCGAGGUGGAGCAAAUCUAUAAAAUAUGUCCCAGUUCGGAUUGUUCUCUGCAACUCGAGAGCAUGAAGCCGGAAUCGCUAGUAAUCGUAGAUCAGCCAUGCUACGGUGAAUACGUUCCCGGGUCUUGUACUCACCGCCCGUCACACCAUGGGAGUUGAUUUCACUCGAAGCCGGAAUACUAAACUAGUUACCGUCCACAGUGGAAUCAGCGACUGGGGUGAAGUCGUAACAAGGUAACCGUAGGAGAACCUGCGGUUGGAUCACCUCCUUU
rnacentral:rRNA from 1 species